rnacentral:rRNA from 1 species
UACGAAGGGGGCUAGCGUUGCUCGGAAUCACUGGGCGUAAAGGGUGCGUAGGCGGUCUGUUACGUCGGCUGUGAAAACCUGGGGCUUAACCCUGAGCCUGCUUCCGAUACGGGCAGACUAGAGGUAUGCAGGGGGAGAACGGAAUUCCUGGUGUAGCGGUGAAAUGCGCAGAUAUCAGGAGGAACACCGGUGGCGAAGGCGGGUCUCUGGGCAGUAACUGACGCUGAGGAGCGAAAGCGUGGGGAGCGAACAGG